rnacentral:rRNA from 1 species
GAUGAACGCUGGCGGCGUGCCUAAUACAUGCAAGUCGAGCGAACAGACGAGGAGCUUGCUCCUCUGACGUUAGCGGCGGACGGGUGAGUAACACGUGGAUAACCUACCUAUAAGACUGGGAUAACUUCGGGAAACCGGAGCUAAUACCGGAUAAUAUAUUGAACCGCAUGGUUCAAUAGUGAAAGACGGUUUUGCUGUAACUUAUAGAUGGAUCCGCGCCGCAUUAGCUAGUUGGUAAGGUAACGGCUUAUCAAGGCAACGAUGCGUAGCCGACCUGAGAGGGUGAUCGGCCACACUGGAACUGAGACACGGUCCAGACUCCUACGGGAGGCAGCAGUAGGGAAUCUUCCGCAAUGGGCGAAAGCCUGACGGAGCAACGCCGCGUGAGUGAUGAAGGUCUUCGGAGCGUAAAACUCUGUUAUUAGGGAAGAACAAAUGUGUAAGUAACUAUGCACGUCUUGACGGUACCUAAUCAGAAAGCCACGGCUAACUACGUG